CCUACGUGAGGCAGCAGUGAGGAAUAUUGGUCAAUGGACGAGAGUCUGAACCAGCCAAGUAGCGUGAAGGAUGAAUGCCCUAUGGGUUGUAAACUUCUUUGAUAUGGGAAUAAAAUGUUCCACGUGUGGGAUUUUGUAUGUACCAUAUGAAUAAGGAUCGGGUAACUCCGUGCCAGCAGCCGCGGUAAUACGGAGGAUCCGAGCGUUAUCCGGAUUUAUUGGGUUUAAAGGGAGCGUAGGUGGGUUGUUAAGUCAGUUGUGAAAGUUUGCGGCUCAACCGUAAAAUUGCAGUUGAAACUGGCAGUCUUGAGUACAGUAGAGGUAGGCGGAAUUCGUGGUGUAGGGGUGAAAUGCUUAGAUAUCACGAAGAAUUCCGAUUGCGAAGGCAGUUCACUGGACUGCAACUGACACUGAGGCUCGAAAGUGUGGGUAUCAAACAGGAUUAGAUACCCGGGUAGUC
rnacentral:rRNA from 1 species